rnacentral:rRNA from 1 species
UUCGUAGGUGAACCUGCGGAAGGAUCAUUAUCGUACAACAUGUGUGAGGCGUGCGAGGGCUGUCGCUGACUUCAAAGUCGUGCACGCCGGAGUGCGUCCUCUCACAUUAAAAUCCAUCUCACCCUUUUGUGCACCACCGCGUGGGCACCCUUUGGGAUCGAAUCGAUCCAGGAGGGGGCUUGCGUUUUCACACAAACCCCUUUUAAAAAGUGUAGAAUGACCCCACUUUGCGAUGACACGCAAUCAAUACAACUUUCAACAACGGAUCUCUUGGCUCUCGCAUCGAUGAAGAACGCAGCGAAAUGCGAUACGUAAUGUGAAUUGCAGAAUUCAGUGAAUCAUCGAAUCUUUGAACGCACCUUGCGCCCCUUGGUAUUCCGAGGGGCACACCCGUUUGAGUGUCGUGAAAAUCUCAACCUUCUCGGUUUUCUUCUGGACGCCGAAGGAGGCUUGGACUUUGGAGGCCUUUGCUGGCAUCUCUCUCUUUUCGAGAGCCAGCUCCUCUUAAAUGAAUUAGCGGGGUCCUCUUUGCCGAUCCUUGACAUGUGAUAAGAUGUUUCCAUGACUUGGUUUCUGGCUCUGUUGCCUUUGGGACCCGCUUCUAACCGUCUCGACGAGACAAUGUUUGGGCGUGUCUCCCUUCUCGGGAAACACUCUCAACCCCAUGAACCCUUGACCUCAAAUCGGGUGAGACUACCCGCUGAACUUAAGCAUAUCAAUAAGCGGAGGA